UUUCCGUAGGUGAACCUGCGGAAGGAUCAUUAUUGUAUAACCGAGAUGCGAGGGCUGUCGCUGACCCGAAAGGUCGUGCACGCCCGAGUGCCCUCACACACAUCCAUCUCACCCCUAUGUGCACCACCGCGUGGGUCCCCCUUUGGCUUGUUCGGAGGGGGGCUUACGUUUUCACACAAACUUUGUAUGCAGUGUAGAAUGUAUUUUUUGUUUUUGCGAUCACGCAUCAAUACAACUUUCAACAACGGAUCUCUUGGCUCCC
rnacentral:misc_RNA from 1 species